rnacentral:rRNA from 1 species
UACGUAGGGGGCAAGCGUUGUCCGGAAUUAUUGGGCGUAAAGAGCUCGUAGGCGGUGUGUCACGUCGUUCGUGAAAACCUGCAGCUUAACUGUGGGCGUGCGGUCGAUACGGGCAUCACUGGAGUUCGGCAGGGGAGACUGGAAUUCCUGGUGUAGCGGUGAAAUGCGCAGAUAUCAGGAGGAACACCGGUGGCGAAGGCGGGUCUCUGGGCCGAUACUGACGCUGAGGAGCGAAAGCGUGGGGAGCGAACAGG